UCCUAGAUCAUUGUCCUUGAUGUCCAGGC
rnacentral:piRNA from 1 species